ACUUAAAUAGUAUAUUAUUUUAAUUACAUUUAAUUUCCAAUUAAAAAAUCUAAAUUUUUAGUUUAAGUA
rnacentral:tRNA from 1 species